UUUGAACCAGUUGGUUGGGCUGGUUGGGGGCAGCCAUGGAAGAUCAGAGAUCACUGUUCUGCAUGCGUGGGAGGCCGUCGAUUUUCGUUUGGGGAGGCGCGCUGCAAAUCCAGCCGCCCUUUUGGUCUUUAUCUUAUCGGUUCUCCUCUCAGAUGUUGUGUUCGUGUGUUGCUGUUCCAGAAGCGCUUCAUCCUUCUUCUCAUCGCACGGGUUUAGCUCAAAGGAUUUCUGGUUUUCUAGGGAGGAAGAUCUAAGGAAAAAGAACUGGAGUAAUCAAUAUGAGAACCCCCAGUCAGCUCAUCAAUCUGGUGGUCUUUUGUUGCUUUGGAUAGAGCAGUUUGGUUGGUGUUUUCAAUUCUGUUAAGCAAGGGGUGAGUUUCUAGGCUGAAAUUCCAAUUAAUUGUUUUAAGGUUUGUGAAUAGA